rnacentral:tRNA from 1 species
GGGCCCGUAGUCUAGUCAGGAUCAGGACGCUGGCCUGCGGAGCCGGAGGUCCGGGGUUCAAAUCCCCGCGGGCCCGCCA